UACGUAGGGUGCGAGCGUUAAUCGGAAUUACUGGGCGUAAAGCGUGCGCAGGCGGUUUGGUAAGACAGAUGUGAAAUUCCCGGGCUUAACCUGGGAACUGCAUUUGUGACUGCCAGGCUAGAGUGCGGCAGAGGGGAGUGGAAUUCCGCGUGUAGCAGUGAAAUGCGUAGAGAUGCGGUGGAACACCGAUGGCGAAGGCAACUCCCUGGGCCUGCACUGACGAUCAUGCACGAAAGCGUGGGGAGCAAACAGG
rnacentral:rRNA from 1 species